rnacentral:rRNA from 1 species
CAGCCCUAAACGAUGCGCGUUAGGUGUAUCGGUGACCACGAGUCACCGAGGUGCCGAAGGGAAACCGUGAAACGUGCCGCCUGGGAAGUACGGUCGCAAGGCUGAAACUUAAAGGAAUUGGCGGGGGAGUACCACAACGGGUGGAGCCUGCGGUUUAAUUGGACUCAACGCCGGGAAGCUCACCGGAUAAGACAGCGGAAUGAUUGCCGGGCUGAAGACCCUGCAUGACCAGCUGAGAGGAGGUGCAUGGCGUAGUCGUGU